rnacentral:telomerase_RNA from 1 species
ACCAGAGGUGAGAAGGGAUUGAGAGCGUGAUAAUGGCAUGCAAUAAUGUGCCAUGUGUUCGAGUCUUUGGGAGUGGUUGCGCUCCUGAUUUCUCGAACGUCUAAACCCUAAACCGGCUGCUAUUUUCGCAGAGAUCUUUGACAUAAUGUGUCAAAGUAAAUAUCGUUGGGGGGUGUUGUUCCAGAGUUUCCCCCUCGCCAAAACAAAUGAAGCUCUGAAGCCCCAUUGUGGUUCCACCUCUCAAGAGGACUGUUGGCUGUCCUUGGAAGGCUCGUAGGUGUUGGUCGUUUGUAGUUCGCUGCUCAUCCAACGAUGUCCUCGCCUUUCAAAUUCCCCUCCCUCUUUU